UACGUAGGUGGCGAGCGUUGUCCGGAAUUACUGGGUGUAAAGGGCGUGUAGGCGGGUAAGCAAGUCAGAUGUGAAAUACCGGGGCUCAACCCCGGGGCUGCAUUUGAAACUGCAUAUCUUGAGUGCAGGAGAGGGAAGCGGAAUUCCUAGUGUAGCGGUGAAAUGCGUAGAUAUUAGGAGGAACACCAGUGGCGAAGGCGGCUUCCUGGACUGUAACUGACGCUGAGGCGCGAAAGCGUGGGGAGCGAACAGG
rnacentral:rRNA from 1 species